CGCGUGUACUGGUCCGGGCCGGGCCUUUCCCUCUGUGGAACCCCAUGCCCUUCACUGGGUGUGGCGGGGAAACAGGACUUUUACUUUGAAAAAAUUAGAGUGCUCCAGGCAGGCCUAUGCUCGAAUACAUUAGCAUGGAAUAAUAGAAUAGGACGUGUGGUUCUAUUUUGUUGGUUUCUAGGACCGCCGUAAUGAUUAAUAGGGACAGUCGGGGGCAUCAGUAUUCAAUUGUCAGAGGUGAAAUUCUUGGAUUUAUUGAAGACUAACUACUGCGAAAGCAUUUGCCAAGGAUGUUUUCAUUAAUCAGGAACGAUAGUUAGGGGAUCGAAGACGAUCAGAUACCGUCGUAGUCUUAACCAUAAACUAUGCCGACUAGGGAUCGGACGGUGUUAUUUUUUGACCCGUUCGGCACCUUACGAGAAAUCAAAGUGCUUGGGCUCCAGGGGGAGUAUGGUCGCAAGGCUGAAACUUAAAGAAAUUGACGGAAGGGCACCACCAGGGGUGGAGCCUGCGGCUUAAUUUGACUCAACACGGGGAAACUCACCAGGUCCAGACACAAUGAGGAUUGACAGAUUGAGAGCUCUUUCUUGAUUUUGUGGGUGGUGGUGCAUGGCCGUUCUUAGUUGGUGGAGUGAUUUGUCUGCUUAAUUGCGAUAACGAACGAGACCUUAACCUGCUAAAUAGCCCGUAUUGCUUUGGCAGUACGCUGGCUUCUUAGAGGGACUAUCGG
rnacentral:rRNA from 1 species